rnacentral:rRNA from 1 species
GACGAACGCUGGCGGCGUGCUUAACACAUGCAAGUCGAACGGAAAGGCCCUGCUUGCAGGGUACUCGAGUGGCGAACGGGUGAGUAACACGUGGGUGAUCUGCCCUGCACUUCGGGAUACGCCUGGGAAACUGGGUCUAAUACCGGAUAGGAGCCAUUUUUAGUGUGAUGGUUGGAAAGUUUUUUCGGUGUAGGAUGAGCUCGCGGCCUAUCAGCUUGUUGGUGGGGUAAUGGCCUACCAAGGCGGCGACGGGUAGCCGGCCUGAGAGGGUGGACGGCCACAUUGGGACUGAGAUACGGCCCAGACUCCUACGGGAGGCAGCAGUGGGGAAUAUUGCACAAUGGGCGCAAGCCUGAUGCAGCGACGCCGCGUGGGGGAUGACGGCCUUCGGGUUGUAAACUCCUUUCGCUAGGGACGAAGCUUUUUGUGACGGUACCUAGAUAAGAAGCACCGGCUAACUACGUG